AACGCACAUUGCGCCCGCCAGUAUUCUGGCGGGCAUGCCUGUUCGAGCGUCAUUUCAACCAUCAAGCCCUGCUUGCGUUGGGGAUCCCGUCCGCGGGGCCCUGAAAACCAGUGGCGGGCUCGCUAGUCACACCGAGCGUAGUAAUACACCUCGCUAUGGUUCGUGCGGCGGGUUCCAGCCGUUAAACACCCCCUUUUUUCUAAGGUUGACCUCGGAUCAGGUAGGAAUACCCGCUGAACUUAA
rnacentral:misc_RNA from 1 species